CAAAAAGGUACAGGAAGGCAAUGGUGGAGGAGAGGAGAGGAGGAGAAGGAGACAAAAACAAACCAGACAGGUAGGGCCAGCCUAGCUGAGCCCGGAGUCAGGGAGAUCUCUGAGAAGCAAGACUGUCUCUUCCUGGGCCCUCGGGAAAGGGCUGAGGAUACAAGGGCCCUUGUAAAUGACACUGUUGCCCACAGCUGGAAAGGUGUGGGUAGAGAAAUAGCUUCCUAGCCCCACCGGGUUCCUUUCCCACCUGACAGCCAGUCCUCCUGCAACGAUUUGAAGAACGCUGUCAGAGGAAAAGAAGCACCCCUGCACCCUCAAGAGAAGAACGCAUCUAAGCCCAGGAGACCUGCUGGUAUGAGCAGGGCCAUGGGUCAGGUUUCUAUAACAGACCUUUGUAACAAUUCUUGAACCUCUACCCACUGUUCACUGGUGGACUAACAAGUAACGAAGGCCUGGUAGAAGAUGGGAAUCUCAGCCGUAAUUCCAUUGGUGUUAGAAUAGUGAAAGGAGAAGGUUGGCCAAGAGGCUUGGGAGCCUCUGUCUGGUAUUCAGAGUCCAGUUUUUCAGCUGAAUCAUAUUUUUAUGAAAGAAUUCAUCAAAAAUAUUAUAACCCUACUAAACAAUGGUUCCGCCCUUGUGUUUCCAUGCACGAGAGGCAGGAUCUAGGCUGUGGGCUCCCAGCAGCAGAAUCUCUCCCCGGAGCAAGCGCCUGGGCUCUCGGGCGGGGGCGGGGGAGAGCAGGCUGCAUCCAGCAGUUGGAAUGUCAGACCGCUGGGGGUCUGUAGGAGGCAGGAGGACCAGCUGUCCUCCCGGGGGUACACGGCCCCCGUGACCCAGGGAGUGCCAGCACAGAAUGGUUUACGUCACCCCGAACUCUCACCUCAUGCCGAGUGCCUCUUGGGCCUGUCCCUUGGAUGUGACGGGAAGCGUGUGCAUGGGGAGAGGAGGAGAGGGAACAAGAGAAUGCUAUUCGUUUGUCCACGCGUUUUGCAUGUAACAGAGUCUUCAUGCCACGACCACGAGUCAGAUUAUGCAGAUACAAGCAAUUCAACAGACACACAUGAUCGUGGCAGCAAAGAAGGUGCCUGAUGUGAACUCCCAACCCAGACAAAACAUAUUGGAAGAAACAUUAUUAGCCAUCACAGAAGCCUGGGGGAAAGCAAUAUAGAGCCAUAAUCCAUUUGCUAAGGAAUCUAUUAGUGCCUAAUGUAUGCAAAACUCCAAAACACGGCGACUCAGACACCCAAAGUAGCACUUUCUGCUCCGGGAGACGUCAUGAGAAAUCACCCUUCGAAUUCUACAUGCGUACUUGAGGAAGCCUGUGAUAGAAAACAGAGUCCCUGCCAGUAUCAGAUCUGGAUGGGACAGUCAGUCCGUUUCAAGCACCAGAUCGCUCAGCCUCCUUGCUUGUCUGCUGGGGAAAAAACAAAUCAAAUCUUCAUUUAGAAAUAAGGUCAGCGCAGUGAAGAGCGAGAUCUUGAGAACUCUUUGCCCUUUGCGGUAGGGAGUAAAGUUCUAUCAUAGCGCUUGAAAUGAGAAGAAAAUCUCACAGAACAAGCCCAGUGUGCCCUCUCCCGGCGCCGGUGAAUCUGGAGUGGGUCUCGGGGGGAUUCUGCUGCCUGCUCCUCUCUCCACACUGGGCUCGUGGAAGCCUUCCACACCCACUCCCCCGGCUGAGGCUCCGUUCACAGGCAGAAGGGAGUGUUCACAACAUGCGGCAGAGCCCACAAGCUCACCCAACCCCUAGAGCUGGGGAUGCAGCACACUUCAGCUACAGGUCUGUGCUUAGGAGCUGGGGGAAGAGUUUAAAGAAUACCCUGUCCUGUAUUUAAACAAACAUCCAGGCUUAAUCCAUAACCAUGCUUGGAAACGCACCCAAAUCCUGCCUCCUUUUAUUUCACUGAAAGCAGAUUGUGCAGGUCAAAAGCUGGUAAUAGCUUUGUGCAAAAUACCUGCAACUGAAACCAAACCAUUCCGAGAAGGAUGUAGCUCCCCAGGGUUUAAUGGCUGGCAGGACAACAUAUCUGCCUGGUGAGCUUUUGAUGUCCACUUCAAUUUUAUCAGUCAUGUCUCCAUAUUUGACCUGCUGUAUCUGAACUGAUUAAGACUAGCUGGACCCGCAGGAUUCUACAACAACAAAAAACACUAGAAGACUUCGUUGUUCAGACCAAGACUUGGGUGGUCACUACAUUCAAAAUGAAUUAUUGGACCAAACACAGUGCUUAAUUAUGUGCCUACCGGAGGGGUCCAUUUUCAGAGAGGGACCCAGGAUUUAGCCACAUGACUUCAGAUGUAUGAGUAACGGGAAUCCCCACUCACUGGGCUAAAAAUGUCAAAUUACCUCCUGUAUUGUAAGCAGCCGAGCAUAUUUCAGUGCCCUGCCUUACAACCUGCCAAGAGAGGAAGGCCUGAUAACUUCUCAUGAGCAGUAAGUGAAAUGGGCCAUGUUACUACCUGGCCAAGGAAGGACUGUGCAGUUUUAUGUUUAAAGAACUUUUCCCUUUAAGGGAUCAAUUUUGCCAGCUCUUCUCCCCUCCACCACCCCCCUCAAUUUUGCAGGUGCAGCUUUGUAAGCAAAAAUGUGCGUGCAAUUGACAGCAGUCAGACAGCAGGGUAAUUGGCAGGUGCAAUCAAUUAUUUAGCAGCUGACAUGGCAUCAAUGAUACAAAACUGGGGGUGCAAAAUGAAAGCACAUCUGAAAAGCUGCCAGUUCCCUGGGUUCCAGGUCGGUGAGCCCCUCCUGCUAUAUCUUAGGGGAGCAGGUCAGCGGCACAGGGCAGCAGAGGGAUUGCAGAGAUCUCCAGUGCUUUGCGGGGCCGUUGACACCCGUGCAGAGGGGUGUAAAGUGGGUGUGAAAUGCUUCUACUCUGCUCCUAGAGCAUUUCACACCCACACUCCACACCGGUGUGAGUGACUAGUGCAGCUGCAGGCCCCAGGUCUCUAUAAUGGGUCACCAUGCAGGACAGGGCUAUUGUGGGAUGGAGAGCAGGAUGGCAGAUGUGUGGCCACUGAGUGUGCACAGCAAGGGUGCCUUGGGCCACGCCCGGGAUGGGGAAUUGGACACAGAAGCGGACACAUCUGCUGUCCCCCUAUGGGCAGAGGAGCAGUUGCAGCUCCGAGAGGCGACCACCCUUGCUUUUCCACCGUCCCUCUGAGCGAGGGGGCAAGGUCACAGGGCAAUUCCAGAGGCUGCCCUGGGGCAUGGUGGGCCUAGGGCUGUGGAUAGCCCCGGACAGGAUGUUAAUUAUACUAAUUCUCCAGGUGUGUCUAAUGCAGCUCUGUAGGCAUUGCGGCAAUGGUGGCUGGGAAGCAUUCAGCACAGGCCUUUGAGCGAGCACGGUUCCCUUUGAUGGAGCAAGGAUAAUCUCCCUCCUCGCCUGGGGAAUCUAAAACCCUUUGGCACUUCCCCACUAAGCUGCUGCAGCCUUGUGCGGAGCUCUCCCCUCCUCAGGAGCCACUCUCUGGUCCAGAUACUGGGACUCUCUGCAAAGAAAAGAAAUGCCAGCCACAGCUAAGUAGGAAAUACCAGAGCAUGGCCCAUCUCCUGUAGGACCUUGUCCCCUCUCAUUAAUUUCUCAUCUCUGCUCACACUUCUCCCUUCUGUUCCUUUCUGCCCUUCCUGCUCUGGUCUCUCAGUUUAACCCUUUUGGGCCAACUUCCACUCUCAAGAGUCUUCUUCACUACGCCUUAUAGGGAAACCUCCUGCCAGGACGCUACCUCCAGCGUAGCGGCACCAAGGGGCGCAAGGGCACUGCUAAGGCACGGGCGUUUUACCACCACGUCAUCCACACCUGCUCCAAGCCUCAGCAAGGCACGUGUGACCAGCACGCUGCGAUAUUCCUGUCUCUCUGUUGGGGUCGUGGUGGCAAGUGCAGGGUUUGCAGGGACAGCGCGUGAGGAUGAGCGCCGUGGCGGGUGCAGGGUUGGGCACACAUAUGGGUGGUGGGUGUAAUAGGCCAGGGGAGGCUCUGCCAGACGCCUGGUAGUGUGUUUGGUGGGGGAAGUUUUUCCUUUAUUAUGCCCCAUGCAGGUUCCGGGGCGGAUGAGGGGGCAGUAUGUGCUAUUCAGCUUCCUGGUUUCAUCAGUAAUCUCCCUGGACUCCAGAGAGAACCUGCAUGGGGCAUAGCAAAAGCUCAGGUUCUUCUCUGGGAAGAGACGCUGUCACCCUGCAGCUUUUCCUGGGCAGCUUGGGGUCUGGGGAGGCACAGUGCGGCUGUGGCUGGCCCAGCGCUCCUCCUGGCAGGGGGGGAGCUCAGGGCUCCUCUGGCCAAGGGGGCAGGGGCACGCGAGCACAAGGGGUGGAACUGGGGGCUCGCCUCCCCGAAGGGGGGCUCCACCUGCCACCAGACUGCAGCAGAGUUGUGCAGUUCUGAUCUUUUGUAAAAAAAAAAAAAAAAAAAUCUUCUGAAAGGAUGUCACAGAGUGAGCCACACUGGCUCCAAAAUGAUUUUUCAGGGGGCUUAAACUGUGCUUAAUGAGACAGCAGGGAGGAAUAGCGUGGCUCAGAGUAGCUGUAUUACAGGCUUCAUUUUAUAUUGUCUCAAAAAUCCUUAGCAGCAUCCCUCCCUGGCCAGAUGCUGUUGACAAUCCUUUUACUGCCUCUUUUACUUUCAAUAGUAAAUUACAUUAAAUCUUCUCCAUUCUUUCUUUCAGCCUCUGGUGAAGAGUUUAGUUCAGCUUUGACUUUGUCAGAGCAAUUCAAAUAGGGCAGCACUUUAAACAGUCACUAGUAUUCAGGCACCCGCCGUCCCGGCAGAGGUGCCCACAUAUGAGUCGCGGGCCCUGAAGAGCUCAGGUUUCAAA